ACUUAGCAGAGCUAGAGGAGUGGAUGGACCGAAAAAAAUUCUAUGAAAUAAUGUUUGCUAAGAGGGAAGAUUGGCCAAAAAUUGAAAGAAAUGAGCUCCCCAAUUUCUUCAGUGACUGUGGUCAUUUCCCAACUCAGAAACAAGUUGAUGAUACUUGGGACCUGGUCCAUCAAGAUGGCAAAGAAAAAUAUUCUGAACUAAUCAAAAAGUCCAAAGCAAUUGAAAUGUUAUUUACACUCUAUCCUCCUGAAGGUGCACAUGUGCCUGACAGUACACUACUCAAGUCGACUUGGUUGAGACCCAUAGUAAAUGGGGAAGAAGGUUAUAGAUAUAUAGUAAAUGGACAUCCAGCACUCAAACGAGCUAACAUCCGGGUUGUUGGAAAG
rnacentral:lncRNA from 1 species